AAGAGCGAUCAUGCCAGCACUAAUGCACAGAAUCCCAUCGGAACUCCGAAGUUAAGCACGCUAGGGCGAGAAUAGUACUAAAAUGGGCUUUGUCACAGGACUUC
rnacentral:rRNA from 1 species